UGGUGUAUAGUUUAAACAAAACAAGUGAUUUCGACUCACUAAAUUAUGGUGAACCAUAUGUACCAA
rnacentral:tRNA from 1 species